rnacentral:rRNA from 1 species
ACCCUACGGGGGGCAGCAGUGGGGAAUAUUGCACAAUGGGGGAAACCCUGAUGCAGCGAUGCCGCGUGGAGGAAGAAGGUUUUCGGAUUGUAAACUCCUUUUAUCAGGGACGAUAAUGACGGUACCUGAAGAAAAAGCUCCGGCUAACUACGUGCCAGCAGCCGCGGUAAUACGUAGGGAGCGAGCGUUGUCCGGAAUUACUGGGUGUAAGGGGAGCGUAGGCGGGACGGCAAGUCAGAUGUGAAAACUGAGGGCUCAACCUGCAGACGGCAUUUGAAACUGCGGUUCUUGAGGGAAGUAGCGGG